CCAACGGCCCUUUUAAGGGCCACCACUGUUUUCAAAGAGCAAACAAU
rfam:Orchesella cincta Ocin01_Sc0623, whole genome shotgun sequence.